ensembl:antisense Gm13269 predicted gene 13269
UGCAGCUCAGCUGCUGGUGGCUCCAUAUCAGGAGCACCAGACUCCAGGGCUGCCUUGAGGUAAAGAGACUGGAGGUCUCAGUUUCAAUAAAUAAUACAUAGUCUCAGUACAACGCACCUGCAAGUAUCUGCUGUGCAGCAUCAGGAGGUGGGCAUCGCUGUCUGCAUCUCUCCCAGACUCAGCAGGGCACCUGUUGUCUGUGGAGCCACUCUGGAAAAAGCUGGUAUCCUGACAACCAGGAACACCUUCCAAGCAAGAUGAAGAAAACCACGCCCAUAGUGAAUGACUCACUCUGAAUCAGCCGACCACCAGAUCCUGAGCCCUUCAGCAAUGCAGCUCACCAUGUUGGCUUCUUUCCUGAGACAUGGAAUCUCAAGGCAGUGUGAAGCCAUUCAGCACUGCGGUCUGGCCAGCCUGCAUAAAUCGCCUGCUCUCUUUCACAGCCUUCCCUGAAAAUAAAGCGACUGCACACAGACGGCGGCGGCGUAUGAAAAUAAAGCCAGGGCUUCCUCCAAGCCUUUCUGCUUGCAUAGCAGUGCAGUGUAUUUCAAUUAACAUCCAACCUUCUCCAACAGUGCUACUUCAGUAUUUGUAAGAGCCUGCCUUUUAGAAUUUAAUACUCAGACAGCCAUUUUGCAAAAAAAAAAAAAAAACA